GUCUCUACAAAAAAAAAGAAGUUUUAAUUUUUGGUCCUUCCUUCUCUGUUUCCUCAGACUCAUCUUCCCAAUGGCUGAAGGCUCCCUGUUACCCCUGGUGUAGUGAAUUCUAGUAGUCGUAACACAUUUCUCCGAACAGAUGAAAGGGAAGCCACGUUUUUAUGUUCACAGCACAUAUGUUUCAGAACCUUGGACAGACACCUUUUGUGACUCUCCCCAGCUCAUACCCACUUCUCUGAGAUCUGUUCCUAUCUCUGGGGCUGGUGCUUCUGACCCUGUCUCUCUGGCUAUCGGCGAUUAGACCAUGGAUCAACACCUGGCCAAGUUAGCACCUUCAGACUUCUCUGGAGAAAAUGACGCUUAAUUGGUGGUACUCUAGCUGCAUGGGCCACUUCCAUCACAUGGAGAAAAAUGAAGCAAACUCAGAGUGAGGCAAGUGAGAGACCACGGGGCCUCAGGAGAACUAUCUUAUCCCUGCAGUCUCCCUUGUAAUUCAGCUAUACCUCUUGUCCGAGUUAUUUGAGAUGUUCUUAAUAAAUCCCCUCUUUAGCCUGAA
rnacentral:lncRNA from 1 species